GCACUGCCCGGUAGCUAAAUGCGGAAGAGAUAAGUGCUGAAAGCAUCUAAGCACGAAACUUGCCCCGAGAUGAGUUCUCCCUGACUCCUUGAGAGUCCUGAAGGAACGUUGAAGACGACGACGUUGAUAGGCCGGGUGUGUAAGCGCAGCGAUGCGUUGAGCUAACCGGUACUAAUGAACCGUGAGGCUUAACCUUACAACGCCGAAGCUGUU
rnacentral:rRNA from 1 species